UGCCUCUGACCUCAUCCUUGGCCUCCUUGGUCCUCAUCUGUCUUGAACUUCGCCACGAUCCCCUCCAUUGAGCUUUCGACCACCACCACAUGGGAUAGUGGAUCACGAUGGUGGCAUCCAUCGGAUCACAGCUACAUGGCAACGAGAUCCAUAACUUCUACCCCACUUCAACCCAUGACAGCCAGUGCCUUGGAGCAACAAGGGAAUCGGAUGCAAAUGGUGGAGUUGGCGUGCAUGACGGUGGAGAAGUGGGUGGAGAGGGGAAGGCUGUUAUC
rnacentral:lncRNA from 1 species